rnacentral:sRNA from 15 species
ACUUGAUGAUGCAGUAAUAGCAUCGCCAAUAUAAAAAAAAAUGUGGGAAGACAGUUUUCUCUUAUAUGAAAAUAUGGAUGGCGGGCCGCAAUGCUUGAUUUUCUUACAUAUUUCAAGUCGAUGCACAAUUUUUUCACUAAGAGGAACCAAGGAGCAUGCUUCGAAACAAUUGGAUUUAGUGGCUACAUUUCACCUAAUAUAAUAUUUAAUAAUAUUUUAAUAUUUCCUCUCAAUAUUUGUUCUUUUCUUUGGUGCAAAAAAUUUUGCUUUAUCUCAAUUUCUGCUCUAAUAUUUUCCAGUGUAAAGCAGCAAUCGGAUUUUCCUUCGUGCGGAUUCGUGCCAGUUGUCUGCGCACACAAACGGACUAAAAACAUUUGAAUGGCUGCAUGCUGACCUCUAGACUAGACAUAAGCUUUUUGUGCGCGGUCAUACUAAAGUUAUCCUAAUAUCCAAAAAUUUUUACGCAGUUUAAUCAAAAAAAGAGACUUUGAAUAGCGCUACAUUAAUCUUAUAAAUCUCUUCCAUAGUUAUUAUCAAAAUUACAAUUGUCUACGUUUUUUCAACUUCACAUAUUUUAUGGUCCCCCGCAACUGGCACCAGCUUGUCAAUUCUCAUGCACAAACAAUUAUAGCAAUUACAGUCUGUUUUUAGCGACUAUUGCUUUGAAAUCGGCUAGAUUAUUGCCCUCCCAAAUAUAUAUAUUAUUGAGAAAUGUUUUUAAAGGAAUCCGGAAAAUUUCAACCAUAUUUAGAACUUUAGCUAAUAUAAGUUAUUCAUGAUAUGAUAUUACAACCCAGUUGUAAUAAGAGCAGUUCGAAAUGUAGAACAAGUUUUGUUUAUAUGUAUACUUAACUAUGAUCAUACUAAAAAACUACAUAGAGUAGGAAACAACUGUCGAAGGUUAUAUAUUUUCAAAAUUUCAAGAUCCAGUGUGUUGGGAAAUCGACUCGGCUCGCUACGUACCUUUUUUAUUUGUCAGGAGUGCAUCCUCGGGCUAAUCCUCGCAAGGUGACGUUUUGGCUUUUCGAAUCGCAAUUUAUAGUGGAUUUCUGACCUAAAAAAUAUCUUCAACGUCAUGAGCGCUUCACGCCAUUUUCUGCAUACAAAAUCAAUUUAAAUGUGGGAUGAAAAUGAAUCGAUUUCCAGUGCACAUUUGCCUGUUCAAAAGUCAAGAAGAUAAAAAUGGGAAACUCAACAAUGGUCCGUGUGAAAAAAAAAAUUGUGACUAUAGUAUUAAACAUGUUAUGGAUAAAAGGCGUUAAAAAUUAAAAAAAAAAAA